GCUCUUCCCCAAGGGCUGUCAGGGAUUUGCUGAGACCCCAGGGACGAUCUCUGAGGAUUCCCCAGCGCGCGCCCACCCCAAGAUAUAGAGAGAUGAUUGAAAUUUUAGGUGAAGUUCCAAGCAGGAGACUCCUCCGUCGCGUAAGGAAAUGAAAUGCCUCUUGUCGUAAUUGGAUUCAGCGGACUAACUUGUCAGGCCCGCAGCUUGGAGGCAAAAGGGACUCUAAAGGGGACAAACAAAUUCGGUAAAGUUGGAUUUGGUCUACGAUGAAGGUUGAAGAUCAACCUUGUCCUCAUUGCUUAAUAGAAAGCUCCUGGUGUUGGGGAAGCAUCUGAUCUCUGUCCUGCUCUAUCCUAACUCUCGCUUGUAUUUAUGUCUGUGUAGAAACCUUCUUCAGAUACAGCCAUCUCGCGAGUUUGUCACACAAAUAAUGUCCGAAGCAAGUCA